rnacentral:rRNA from 1 species
AUUGAACGCUGGCGGCAGGCCUAACACAUGCAAGUCGAGCGGAUGAAGGGAGCUUGCUCCUGGAUUCAGCGGCGGACGGGUGAGUAAUGCCUAGGAAUCUGCCUGGUAGUGGGGGAUAACGUCCGGAAACGGGCGCUAAUACCGCAUACGUCCUGAGGGAGAAAGUGGGGGAUCUUCGGACCUCACGCUAUCAGAUGAGCCUAGGUCGGAUUAGCUAGUUGGUGGGGUAAAGGCCUACCGAGGCGACGAUCCGUAACUGGUUUGAGAGGAUGAUCAGUCACACUGGAACUGAGACACGGUCCAGACUCCUACGGGAGGCAGCAGUGGGGAAUAUUGGACAAUGGGCGAAAGCCUGAUCCAGCCAUGCCGCGUGUGUGAAGAAGGUCUUCGGAUUGUAAAGCACUUUAAGUUGGGGGGAAGGGCAGUAAGUUAAUACCUUGCUGUUUUGACGUUACCAACAGAAUAAGCACCGGCUAACUUCGUG